CACCAGGGAAAGCAGCAGCACGAUCCCCCCUCCCUGCAAAAGGUAAGAAGGGAGGGGGGAUAGCAAUUAAUGUACCCCCACCUCCACCCCCACAAUCACCCACACACACAUACAGCACACACAUACAGCACACACACAUACAACACCCACACACACAUACAGCACACACACAUACAACACCCACAGACAUACACAGCACCCACAGACAUACACAGCACCCACAGACAUACACAGCACCCACAGACAUUCAGCACCCACACACAUACAGCACCCACACGCAUACAGCACCCACACGCAUACAGCACCCACAGGCAUACAGCACCCACAGGCAUACAGUACCCACACCCACACA